CGAACGCUGGCGGCGUGCUUAACACAUGCAAGUCGAACGGAAAGGCCCUGCUUUUGUGGGGUGCUCGAGUGGCGAACGGGUGAGUAACACGUGAGUAACCUGCCCUUGACUUUGGGAUAACUUCAGGAAACUGGGGCUAAUACCGGAUAGGAGCUCCUGCUGCAUGGUGGGGGUUGGAAAGUUUCGGCGGUUGGGGAUGGACUCGCGGCUUAUCAGCUUGUUGGUGGGGUAGUGGCUUACCAAGGCUUUGACGGGUAGCCGGCCUGAGAGGGUGACCGGGCACAUUGGGACUGAGAUACGGCCCAGACUCCUACGGGAGGCAGCAGUGGGGAAUAUUGCACAAUGGGCGGAAGCCUGAUGCAGCAACGCCGCGUGCGGGAUGACGGCCUUCGGGCUGUAAACCGCUUUCGCCUGUGACGAAGCGUGAGUGACGGUAAUGGGUAAAGAAGCACCGGCUAACUACGUG
rnacentral:rRNA from 1 species